CAGAGAUUCACCAGCAAAUUUAUCUGGAAGAACCAUACCAUUCAAAGGAGACAACAAGCGUUUCCUAACUAAUGAACUUGCAGUCUCAUUCAUUUUGUCAAUGUCCCGAACAACAGUAGAUGAAUCGAUGUUAUCCAAUGAAUUUGCUUCAAACAAACUAGCAUGGCUUCUUAUUGCACUUUUUGAUUCGAACCCAACAAUCCUUGAGGCAGGACUCUGGGUAGUUCUUCCACCAUCAUG
rnacentral:misc_RNA from 1 species